rnacentral:rRNA from 1 species
AACGAACGCUGGCGGCAUGCCUAACACAUGCAAGUCGAACGAGAUCUUCGGGUCUAGUGGCGCACGGGUGCGUAACGCGUGGGAAUCUGCCCUUUGGUUCGGAAUAACAGUUGGAAACGACUGCUAAUACCGGAUGAUGACGAAAGUCCAAAGAUUUAUCGCCAGAGGAUGAGCCCGCGUAGGAUUAGCUAGUUGGUGUGGUAAAGGCGCACCAAGGCGACGGUCCUUAGCUGGUAUGAGAGGAUGAUCAGCCACACUGGGCCUGAGACACGGCCCAGACUCCUACGGGAGGCAGCAGUGGGGAAUAUUGGACAAUGGGCGAAAGCCUGAUCCAGCAAUGCCGCGUGAGUGAUGAAGGCCUUAGGGUUGUAAAGCUCCUUUACCCGGGAUGAUAAUGACAGUACCGGGAGAAUAAGCUCCGGCUAACUCCGUGCCAGCAGCCGCAGUAA